AGCAGUAGCCACGGUAAUACGAAGGGUGCAAGCGUUAAUCGGAAUUACUGGGCGUAAAGCGUGCGUAGGCGGUUUGUUAAGUCUGCUGUGAAAUCCCCGGGCUCAACCUGGGAAUGGCAGUGGAUACUGGCAAGCUAGAGUGUGUCAGAGGAUGGUGGAAUUCCCGGUGUAGCGGUGAAAUGCGUAGAGAUCGGGAGGAACAUCAGUGGCGAAGGCGGCCAUCUGGGACAACACUGACGCUGAGGCACGAAAGCGUGGGGAGCAAACAGGAUUAGAUACCCCCGUAGUCCCUGUCUCUUAUAC
rnacentral:rRNA from 1 species